rnacentral:piRNA from 1 species
UCCUAGCUUUGUACCCAGGGAUUGCCUCA